GGCAGUUCAGUGACUCUGACCUGUAGCAGUGAUGCUAACCCAGCAGCUACUUUUAAAUGGUACAAGAGAAAUCAGAUAUCUCAAUACCUUCAUGAAGGAGCACAGCUGGUCUUCAACUACAUUCAACCCUCGGCCUCUGGAGAGUAUUACUGUGAAUCUGAGAACAAGCUGGGGAGGAAGAGGUCUGGAUACGUCUCUAUCAAUGUGAAAUAUGCUCCAUCAGUUUGUUCAGCGUCUGUGAGUCCUGCUGGUGAAAUCAGAGAGAACAGUAGAGUGACUGUGACCUGUAGCUGUGAUGCUAACCCAGCACCUGAAUACACCUGGUACAAGGUGAACGGUCGUGAACUCAGUAAAGAAUCAGAGCUCGUCUUCAGCUCAGUUCAGUCCUCUGACUCUGGAAGGUAUUACUGUAAAGCUAAGAAUGAUCUGGGAGAGAGGACAUCUGGAUACGUCAAAGUUGAAGUGAAAUAUGCUCCAAAGCUUCCCUCUGUGUCAGUGAGUCCCUCUGC